rnacentral:rRNA from 1 species
CCCUUAGAUGUUCUGGGCCGCACGCGCGCUACACUGAAUGGAUCAACGUGUUUUCCCUUCCCGAGAGGGACGGGUAACCCGCUGAACCCCAUUCGUGGUAGGGAUCGGAGCUUGCAAUUGUUCUCCGUGAACCAGGAAUUCCCAGUAAGCGCAAGUCAUAAGCUUGCGUUGAUUACGUCCCUGCCCUUUGUACACACCGCCCGUCGCUACUACCGAUUGAAUGGUCCGGUGAAGCCUCCGGAUUGGCGCGCACCUCGGUGCCGCCGAGAAGUUGGCUAAACCUUACCAUUUAGAGGAAGGUGAAGUCGUANCA